rnacentral:rRNA from 1 species
UACGGAGGGUGCAAGCGUUAUCCGGAUUCACUGGGUUUAAAGGGUGCGUAGGUGGGCAGUUAAGUCAGAGGUGAAAUCUCCGGGCUUAACCCGGAAACUGCCAUUGAUACUAUCUGUCUUGAAUAUCGUGGAGGUAAGCGGAAUAUGUCAUGUAGCGGUGAAAUGCUUAGAUAUGACAUAGAACACCAAUUGCGAAGGCAGCUUACUACCCGAAUAUUGACACUGAGGCACGAAAGCGUGGGGAUCAAACAGG